rnacentral:rRNA from 1 species
GUAGGGGGGCAAGCGUUGUCCGGAAUUAUUGGGCGUAAAGCGCGCGCAGGGCGGUCCUUUAAGUCUGAUGUGAAAGCCCACGGCUCAACCGUGGAGGGUCAUUGGAAACUGGGGGACUUGAGUACAGAAGAGGAAAGCGGAAUUCCAAGUGUAGCGGUGAAAUGCGUAGGGAUUUGGAGGAACACCAGUGGCGAAGGCGGCUUUCUGGUCUGUAACUGACGCUGAGGCGCGAAAGCGUGGGGAGCAAACAGGAUUAGAUACCCUGGUAGUCCACGCCGUAAACGAUGAGUGCUAAGUGUUAGGGGGUUUCCGCCCCUUAGUGCUGCAGCUAACGCAUUAAGCACUCCGCCUGGGGAGUACGGCCGCAAAGGCUG